AAAAAAACAUAAACAGACACAGACAAAGAAAAGAAACACAAAGGUUAUGAACUGCACGAAAAAGGAUUCCGAAGAUCUUUUUCUUAUUGCAAAUAACGUACAUUUAUACAUUAAGAAAAAUAUCAUUUUAAUUAAUUUGUACUAUUCUCUGGAUUAAAAAAUUGAUGUUUAAGGCUAGCUAGGCUAGCUAGGUAUAAUUAAAGCCCGGAAUCCUAAAAUCCGGACAAUGAUCGAAGACACAGAAAUAGCAGCGUUAUCCACAACUGGCAAGAUAGAUCCGACAGAGUUCGAUGUGACGAUUGCAGCGUUAUUGACGGGCUUAGGUGCAACUAAAUAUAUUAAGAUUUUCAAAAAGCGCAAUAUAGGACAAAGUACUCUUAUAGAAUUAACAAAUGAAGACCUCAUAAAACUAGGCUUAGAUGAUGAUGACAUCAGAAAGAAGUUAUUGGAAGAAAUAAAAAAUUUACCUAUUUAUGAAGAGUUCUCAAUAGAGUGAGUGACUUAUUUAACUUGUUUGCUAUUUCUUAAAUACAUAUAUAAAAAAAUGCUAACUAUCUGCCAUAUAUCGAGAGAGAUAAAGGAGAAACCCCAUUUUGGGCCUAAGCGUUACACGAAUGGGAUAUGUACCAAAAAAUUCGUCUAUUUUGCUUGAUUAACCUAUUGAAAUCUUAGCUUCAUUGACAAUGGCCAAGUGUAGAAAAUAAGUUGAAUUCAAUUUUUUGUUUUAAACAAUCUUUGUAAACAUCUGCAACACUUAUUUCAAUAUACGUAACUAGCUCCACAAACGUGCGGAUUAGAAUUAGAACAUCCAUAAAAUAGGAUCGAUUUAGUGGAAAUCAAGUGUAAAAAAUAAUUAAUACUCUUUUGCUUUAGGAUAAAUGACUGUUUUUAUAGGUAUUUUAAUCAAUGUAAAUAGAGUAUGGCCAUCGAAUCGUGACACAACUACUUAUAAUGGCGGCAAUUCAAAAUAUCUACAACUGACAACAUUAAAUAUAGCAUGAAAGAGUAGUUUUGCAUUUUUAUAUUAAUGUGACUAUGCCAUAGAAAAACACAAAUGUAUCAAAUCGUGUUAUGUUAUCUUUAAUGUUGCCAACUGAAGAUAUUUUGGAUUUUGCCGUAAACCAGUAAUGCGUUUCAGUUUGAAGGGCGGGGCAGCCGUUGUAACUAUACUGAGACCUUAGAACUUAUAUCUCAAGGUGAGUGGCGCACUUACGUCGUAGAUGUCUAUGAGCUCCAGUAACCACUUAACAUCAGGUGGGCUGUGAGCUCGUCGAUGGGUAUCUAAGCAAUAAAAAAUAAAAAUAAAAAAGGCAUGAAAUAAAAUGAAAUGAAAUGUGAUGAGAUAAUAUGGGAGCACGUAAUGAUUUAUAUUUUAUAUAAAAAAGGUUAUCAUAUAAAUAUAGUUUUUCAUAUAAAAAAGUUUUCAUUAAAAUUAAAAUAAGACUGACCUAAAGGUCUUAGUUACCAGGUCAUAAAAUCCCUUAAAAAAAUCAUUUCGUGCGCAGCGCGUUUCGCAUUACGUUGUUUUUAAUUUUUGGCUUUCGUUCGUUUUCGUAAACAACCUAACGCGCGAUUUCUCGUAACAGGUUCCAUUUUUAUUUUAAAGCAACCUGUUGCUGCAACAGGUUUCGUAAAAAAUUACUCAUCUUUAGUAGGAAACAGCCUCAAAAAUAUCGUUUUUAUUAAAAUAUCUCGAACAAUAAACAUAACCUAAAAUGUAAACAUUGUCUGAUUUUACCAAUUUGGCCAUUGCUGGGAGACCUGAAAAUUGGGCUCAUGAAACCUUCUUAGGUAUUGUCGAGAAAUGAUUUUGGUAUUAUUCCAACUGAAAUUGCUGAUAUAUUGGAAGCAAGCUCUGAGCACCUGUACAGAAUAUACUUGAGUAUAAUGGCCAACACGUUAGCUUUGAAGAAAACUAAGAAUAUUACAGACUGUUUGAUAUACCGUGAUCAGUACGCCUCGAAUAUGGCACAGGCAGUAUUGAGUGAACUGACAACGAUUUUAAAUUCAAUGGAAAUCGCAUUGCACACAAGGCUAAAGGUACUCACGUCUGAUACUAAAAAGCGUAAAAACAAAAAAAUCAUCGUGGGAGUCACAGGUAGUAUCGUGAUAGCAGUUUUAGCCGCGUUUUUUGUACAAUCUUUAAAGAGACUUUGAUAAAUAAGUAUGUUACUUAUUGACCCACGCUAUCAGCAUACGGCCCAGCAACUAUUAAUAUUUAGAAUGCGAUAAGUUUUUCCAACAUAUUAAAAUAUAUUUUAUUCUGAAA